GUUACAUCAGUCAUUAACUCAACAUGUAAAUGCAGUAUAUCACAGAUAUAUGACAGAGGAGACUGACUCUUGUCUAGAUAUUACAGGAACAGAUGAGACACACAUGUGUUUAUCUGCUGCAGAGACACUGAUGAAGGAAUGCUGCCAUCAAAGGAUUUGUAUCUUUUGUGGUGGAGCAGGACCUGCAAGGAAAAGAAUAAUGCAAUGUCGUUUUGUAUUGUGUAUGUCUGUAGACUGGUGUGUGCACUGAGGACGGAGAAGACCACAGCAUCAUCCUGGAAAUGAUCGAGAAUCACAGAUGAGACUCUCCCUCAUUCCACCUGCAAUUUACGGUCUCAUCAGGACCAGAUGCUGCUGUGAUGUCUUCAUCCUCAGUUCGAAUACCAUGGAACACAUGUUGGAUAAAAACUGUUAGUCUGAAUGCACUGUAGUCAUGCUCAUGGGGUGCAGGCACACGAAAGUUUGGAGCAGACACAGCAGUCAGAUUGUCCUGCACGUGUUCUUCUACUCUCGCUUCAAGGUUGUGUGGUUCAGAGAGCCGUCAUCAAGGUCUUCCUCAUCCUGUUGCUCAACGACAUCCCCGUUGAGAAGAGUGAGAUUGUGAAGUGCUGCAGCAGAACUGUAUCAGCUGUGUUCAG